GGAAGGGGUGUAUUUAUUAGAUAAAAAACCAAUGCCCUUCGGGGCUCCUUGGUGAAUCAUAAUAACUUAACGAAUCGCAUGGCCUUGCGCCGGCGAUGGUUCAUUCAAAUUUCUGCCCUAUCAACUUUCGAUGGUAGGAUAGUGGCCUACCAUGGUGGCAACGGGUAACGGGGAAUUAGGGUUCGAUUCCGGAGAGGGAGCCUGAGGAACGGCUACCACGUCCAAGGAAGGCAGCAGGCGCGCAAAUUACCCAAUCCCGACACGGGGAGGUAGUGACAAUAAAUACUGAUACGGGGCUCUUUUGGGUCUCGUAAUUGGAAUGAGUACAAUCUAAAUCCCUUAACGAGGAACAAUUGGAGGGCAAGUCUGGUGCCAGCAGCCGCGGUAAUUCCAGCUCCAAUAGCGUAUAUUAAAGUUGUUGCAGUUAAAAAGCUCGUAGUUGAACCUUGGGUCUGGCUGGCCGGUCCGCCUCACCGCGAGUACUGGUCCGGCUGGACCUUUCCUUCUGGGGAAUCUCAUGGCCUUCACUGGCUGUGGGGGGAACCAGGACUUUUAC
rnacentral:rRNA from 1 species